rnacentral:rRNA from 1 species
AACGUAGGUGGCGAGCGUUAUCCGGAUUUACUGGGCGUAAAGCGUGUGCAGGUGGCCUGUUAAGUGGUGUAUGAAAUCGCCCGGCUCAACCGGGCGGGGUUAUGCCAGACUGGCAGGCUAGAGGGUGGGAGAGGGAUGUGGAAUUCCGGGUGUAGUGGUGAAAUGCGUAGAUAUCUGGAGGAACACCGGUGGCGAAGGCGGCAUCCUGGACCAACACUGACGCUGAGUGAGCGAAAGCCAGGGGAGCAAACGGG